UGGGGAAUCUUGCACAAUGGGCGAAAGCCUGAUGCAGCGACGCCGCGUGGGGGAUGAAGCUUUUCGGAGUGUAAACCCCUUUCGACCCGGACGAAUGCCCCGCAAGGGGACUGACGGUACGGGUAUAAGAAGCCCCGGCUAACUACGUGCCAGCAGCCGCGGUAAGACGUGGGGGGCCAGCGUUGCUCGGAAUUACUGGGUGUAAAGGGUUCGUAGGCGGUGUAGCAAGUCGGGAGUGAAAUCUCUGGGCUCAACCCAGAGACUGCUUCCGAAACUGCUGUGCUUGAGUGUGGGAGAGGCGCGUGGAAUUGCAGGUGUAGCGGUGAAAUGCGUAGAUAUCUGCAGGAACACCCGUGGCGAAAGCGGCGCGCUGGACCACUACUGACGCUGAGGAACGAAAGCUAGGGGAGCAAACAGGAUUAGAUACCCUGGUAGUCCUAGCCCUAAACGAUCAGGACUUGGGGUGCCGCACGUUCGUGCGUCGUCCCGGAGCUAACGCGUUAAGUCCUGCACCUGGGGAGUACGGUCGCAAGACUG
rnacentral:rRNA from 1 species